rnacentral:misc_RNA from 1 species
UAAAUUGAAGGAAAAAAAAAUCAUUUCUCUAGAUUAUUUAUUCAAUAUACUUAUCCAAUAUAAUUUUCAAUUCUUAUUAUUGCCCUUUUCCUCGUCUCAUGUGAGUAAAUUUGGUAUAUUCAUUUAUUUAUUAGGGUUAAUUUUUAUAGCCAGUUCUUCACUUCCAUCCCUUUAACUUUAAUUUUUGUUUCACAAAAAUUCCUCUAGGUUUCUAGAUUAAAAAAAAAUAAUAAAAGGAGAAUCUAUGAAGUGUUGAAACUGCAUUUGUAGAAUUUUUAAUAUGAAAACCUUUGUGAAACAAAUUUAAAGUUAGAUUUUUUAGUGGGACAAAGUUCAGGACUUAUAAAAUUUACCCAUUACCCAUUUAUCAGUUCAUCCAUUUUGUAGCAAAAUUAAAACUUGUUGGAUUUACAACUUUUUAUGAAGCAAAAAUGGCUGAACUAAUGAAAUAAAACGAAGCCUUGAGUCCUCGAAUAAAGAGAACAUGAAACUCACUCUGGUUCAUUUGCAUCGAAAAG